rnacentral:rRNA from 1 species
AUUGAACGCUGGCGGCAUGCCUUACACAUGCAAGUCGAACGGCAGCACGGGAGCAAUCCUGGUGGCGAGUGGCGAACGGGUGAGUAAUGUAUCGGAACGUGCCCAGUCGUGGGGGAUAACGCAGCGAAAGCUGUGCUAAUACCGCAUACGAUCUACGGAUGAAAGUGGGGGACCGCAAGGCCUCAUGCUCAUGGAGCGGCCGAUAUCUGAUUAGCUAGUUGGUGGGGUAAAAGCCUACCAAGGCGACGAUCAGUAGCGGGUCUGAGAGGACGAUCAGCCACACUGGGACUGAGACACGGCCCAGACUCCUACGGGAGGCAGCAGUGGGGAAUUUUGGACAAUGGGGGAAACCCUGAUCCAGCAAUGCCGCGUGAGUGAAGAAGGCCUUCGGGUUGUAAAGCUCCUUUGUCAGGGAAGAAACGGUGGGGGCUAAUAUCCUCUGCUAAUGACGGUACCCGAAGAAUAAGCACCGGCUAACUACGUGCCAGCAGCCGCGGUAACAC